rnacentral:rRNA from 1 species
GACGAACGCUGGCGGCGUGCUUAACACAUGCAAGUCGAACGGAAAGGCCCUGCUUUUGUGGGGUGCUCGAGUGGCGAACGGGUGAGUAACACGUGAGUAACCUGCCCUUGACUUUGGGAUAACUUCAGGAAACUGGGGCUAAUACCGGAUAGGAGCUCCUGCUGCAUGGUGGGGGUUGGAAAGUUUCGGCGGUUGGGGAUGGACUCGCGGCUUAUCAGCUUGUUGGUGGGGUAGUGGCUUACCAAGGCUUUGACGGGUAGCCGGCCUGAGAGGGUGACCGGCCACAUUGGGACUGAGAUACGGCCCAGACUCCUACGGGAGGCAGCAGUGGGGAAUAUUGCACAAUGGGCGGAAGCCUGAUGCAGCAACGCCGCGUGCGGGAUGACGGCCUUCGGGUUGUAAACCGCUUUCGCCUGUGACGAAGCGUGAGUGACGGUAAUGGGUAAAGAAGCACCGGCUAACUACGUGCCAGCAGCCGCGGUGAUACGUAGGGUGCGAGCGUUGUCCGGAUUUAUUGGGCGUAAAGGGCUCGUAGGUGGUUGAUCGCGUCGGAAGUGUAAUCUUGGGGCUUAACCCUGAGCGUGCUUUCGAUACGGGUUGACUUGAGGAAGGUAGGGGAGAAUGGAAUUCCUGGUGGAGCGGUGGAAUGCGCAGAUAUCAGGAGGAACACCAGUGGCGAAGGCGGUUCUCUGGGCCUUUCCUGACGCUGAGGAGCGAAAGCGUGGGGAGCGAACAGGCUUAGAUACCCUGGUAGUCCACGCUGUAAACGGUGGGUACUAGGUGUGGGGUCCAUUCCACGGGUUCCGUGCCGUAGCUAACGCUUUAAGUACCCCGCCUGGGGAGUACGGCCGCAAGGCUAAAACUCAAAGGAAUUGACGGGGCCCCGCACAAGCGGCGGAGCAUGCGGAUUAAUUCGAUGCAACGCGUAGAACCUUACCUGGGUUUGACAUGGAUCGGGAGUGCUCAGAGAUGGGUGUGCCUCUUUUGGGGUCGGUUCACAGGUGGUGCAUGCCUGUCGUCAGCUCGUGUCGUGAGAUGUUGGGUUAAGUCCCGCAACGAGCGCAACCCUUGUUCACUGUUGCCAGCACGUUAUGGUGGGGACUCAGUGGAGACCGCCGGGGUCAACUCGGAGGAAGGUGGGGAUGACGUCAAGUCAUCAUGUCCCUUAUGUCCAGGGCUUCACGCAUGCUACAAUGGCUGGUACAGAGAGUGGCGAGCCUGUGAGGGUGAGCGAAUCUCGGAAAGCCGGUCUCAGUUCGGAUCGGGGUCUGCAACUCGACCUCAUGAAGUCGGAGUCGCUAGUAAUCGCAGAUCAGCAACGCUGCGGUGAAUACGUUCCCGGGGCU